UACGUAGGGGGCAAGCGUUGUCCGGAAUCAUUGGGCGUAAAGCGCGCGUAGGCGGCCCGGUAAGUCCGCUGUGAAAGUCAAAGGCUCAACCUUUGAAUGUCAGCGGAUACUGCCGGGCUAGAGUCCGGAAGAGGCGAGUGGAACUCCUGGUGUAGCGGUGGAAUGCGCAGAUAUCAGGAAGAACACCGGUGGCGAAGGCGGCCCACUGGUCCGGUACUGACGCUGAGGUGCGAAAGCGUGGGGAGCAAACAGG
rnacentral:rRNA from 1 species